rnacentral:ribozyme from 1 species
AAAAGAAAAGAAAAGAAAAACGAAAAAUCGAAACCUAGUCCAAAUUGACCCCUUUUGUCUAUUAUCAUGUCCGUAUCACCAACUUUU